GAUGAAGAACGUAGCGAAAUGCGAUAAGUAAUGUGAAUUGCAGAAUUCAGUGAAUCAUCGAAUCUUUGAACGCACAUUGCGCCCGCCAGCAUUCUGGCGGGCAUGCCUGUUCGAGCGUCAUUUCAACCCUCGAGCCCCCCCGGGGGCCUCGGUGUUGGGGGACGGCACACCAGCCGCCCCCGAAAUGCAGUGGCGACCCCGCCGCAGCCUCCCCUGCGUAGUAGCACACACCUCGCACCGGAGCGCGGAGGCGGUCACGCCGUAAAACGCCCAACUUUCUUAGAAUUGACCUCGGAUCAGGUAGGAAUACCCGCUGAACUUAAGCAUAUCAAUAGCGGAGGA
rnacentral:misc_RNA from 1 species